rnacentral:misc_RNA from 1 species
AACGCACCUUGCGCCUCUUGGCUAUUCCGAGAGGCAUGCCUGUUUGAGUGUCAUUAAUAUAUAUAUAUCAACCUUCUCUUGUGGAAUGGUUUGGAUGUGGGGGUUUGCUGGGUUUCAUAUAUAUAUAUAUGGGUUCAGCUCUCCUGAAAUGCAUUAGCAGAACGACCUGUUCAUUUGGUGUGAUAACUAUCUACGCUAUUGAAUGUGAGGGGCAAGUUCAGCUUUCCAACAGUCCUCUUGGACAACUCAUCAUUAAUGUGACCUCAAAUCAGGUAGGACUACCCGCUGAACUUAA